UUCAUCCUUUCGCAAGCCCCUCUGGUUUUGUGUAAUUGCGCGCUUUGGUGAGCCCCUUGAACGGGCGAACUUAGCGAACUGUCAAGCUAGUUGUCAACAACAUGCUUGUUUACAAAUAUUGAAAGACUCUGCUGCUUGCAGCGAGAUCAAUAAGGCAAUCGGAGUAGAAUCUCGGAACACCGGGAAAAAGGAACCUCCGGAAAGCUUCGAUACGGCUACGGGGGGAACGACAGACCUUUUUUGAUCCGGAUAACAUAGCGGCAUUCGUGGAGUACGUGAAACAGGAAGGCUGGGAGCGGAUCUGAUCUGCUCAUGUGUGACGGAGGGUUCUUCGCAAAGAACAAAAGUGACUGGCAGGAGAUCAUUUCCAAGCUGCUGUAGUUGUGUUUGGUGCUGCUGGCAGUGGCGGUGAUCCGACCAGGAAACGCUAUUCUGAAGGUGUUUAAUGUGUACACUCCGUCAGUGUCGGUUUGGUGUACAUUCUGACCUAAUCCUACGGAAAAGUUAAGCAAAUUUCCGUAAGGUCGACCAACUCGGAGCAAUAUCUAGUUUCACAAAAUCGGUUGAACAGGGAGUCUGUUCGCAAGGUAUCGGACAUCGAUAAACUAGGCUCUGUGGGAGGAAAAACAUAGCGAUUUCCUGAUUUUCCCGAAGACAAUAGAAAAGGACAGUUUUUUCAACUUCUUUUGGUCCGUUGACAGAUCCAGCCAUGAACUAAAGGACUUUAACGGCAACUAUUUCGGAGGCUUAAUUCGUCAAUCAGAAAUCCGAAUCGAACGAUCGUUUCAUGGACGCUGUGGCGUCACUGAAAGUUGCAACAAAAAACGCGUCUCGCCGACGGAUGGAUUCGAGAUUUGUGCGCCAGGCCAGCGUAAGAAUGUUCGGAACGACCGCGGAUGCCGAUGGAUGUAACGGCCGACCAGGGUAAACGCAUUCGGACGGUGUUUCUGAGUAAUGUGUUCUACUACGAUCGGGAUAGGUUGGACGCAAAUUAGGAACCUUCAAGUGAUUCUAUCGCCGCGGAGGGUUUUAUAUGGGGAAAUUGGAUUAAAGUUCUGCCGAGGAUGAAAAGAAAAAAACCGAUACAAUGCAUCUGGUGUGUCUGGAACUCUGGUAAAUCGUGGUCCACCACUCGACAAACGGAAAAUCCACUGCAGCAAGUUCGUCAAAGCCAAGAUCGACCACUGGUCCAUCAAAAUGCUUCCGUUGUUCGGUCGGUCCCGGUUGGGCGCAUGCCGUACCACUGGUUCUUCGUGCGGAGUGUGCUGACCAGUUCGAAGUGAGUCGAGAAGCAGUUGGAUUUUGGGAAGGCUUUUGGCAGCCGGAUCCUGUGGGCCUGAAACCAAACCAGCCAGAUCUACUCGUCGGCGCAGCGGUUCGAGGCGCCCAAAGAACCAACCAUGGUCUACCGGCAGGAUAUCAAUGAGCUUAUUGAGAAAUGCGCUUAUAAAAAGUGAGUAAUAGUGCAUAAUAGUUUUGGAAGCAAACUAUGCAGUUUUUGAAUUAGUAGAGGUUCAGUAUUUAUUGCUCAUUUCCCACCCCACUGGACACCUUUCGCGGUUAGUAUAAGUGCGGGAUCGUGAAUAAAACUGCGAUUUUGCAUCGAACCCAUUUGGUGUCUUCUGUGCACUUUUCAGCACUUUGUAAUGCAUCAGUGCGCAUAAGACUCCGACACGAUUCGAUGCAACAUCGCAGUUUUAUUUACGUUCCCGCACUUAUACUAAUCGCGAAAGGGGUCCAGUAGGGUGGGAAAUGCGCAAUAUUAGAUAUGAUUUUGUUGUGCGAUCAGAUGUUCUCGAUAUAAAUGUUGUUAGAUACUCUACUUCCCUUACCAAGUGAACAAAUGGCCAUUAUGUCAACCGAUUGUACUAUACACCAUUACGGAAUUUCAGUCCCGAUUACCCAUGGUGGUGUGGAGGGUCGAAAAUAAAAAAUUG